GUGGCAUCAAACCUAUGGACUGCUUUUGUAGUUUGAAGAGUCGUUGGAUCAUCAGUCAGGUUCAUGUCUGUUUUCUAAAGAGAGAAGAAAAAGGCAUAGAGUUGAGCGGAUCAGAAAAUGCAGGAGGACUAGGGGGAGAGUAAACUGUAACCAGAAUAUGUUGUAUGAAGAAAAACGUAAAUAAAUGGCUAAGCACAUACUAAA